UCAUGAAGCACUCACCCCAUGCAGCAAGGGAAGCCGGGCGAGUAGCUCACAAGAAGGAGCCGGGCAUUUUGUUUCCAGUCUGGAGAAAGAAUAGGAGCCUGGAUUGUGAGGCAGCGUGGUGUAAGGGAACUCUGACAGCAGAGAGCUGGGGACGGGGACAAACAACAAGGUGCACUUGGUUUUUAAAACGUACAAAUGUAUAAACGCACUCCUGUAGGCACAGCCUGAAUCCCACCGGCAAUGGCGGCCACAGAAUAAACAGGACAACUAGGAUUUGAUAUUGCACACAAGCAAAUAUUUCUAAUGUUAUAAAGCAGUAUCAGAGAAUAGCUGUACUGAGCUCAAUCAGCACACACCACAAAGUACAUAUACACACCGUGCACUCACAGGGUACAGCACAUCCUGCACCUAAAAUACAGGCCAUUCAGCUGAAAGAAGGUUUUCGAGGGGCUGCAGAAGAGAGAGAGGAGUUUAAUGUGGCAGAUGUUAGUUUGGGUCCCUGAAUAGCUGUAAGUCUCAAGAUACUCCUCGGAUGCUGGCAGAGAUCAGCUGGCGAUCACAGGGAUGGGAGCACGGCCUCAUGCGAAGGCUCAGGACCGGUCCCUGGUAAAGCACCCCAGGACCAUCGACGGAGAGCAGAGAGCAGCCGAAGCACUGCACGCUGGAAAGCUGAGCUGGCAGGAAGGGGACUUCUGCAAGCAAGUGGUGAUAACAUCAAGGAACUGGAGUUCUUGGCCUCAGCAUUAAAAGAAGCACUAACCACGAUCUCUCCGAGCUGAUCUGCCUUCCUCCUGACAGCCCUCUAAAGUUAAUACAAAUAUGAAUCUCAAGACACCAAAAUAAAGAAUAUGGAGAGGAUCCUAAGCCCAAAAUUGAGCUAUGGAUCCCCUCCAGGCUCAGGAAUGUUUUGUAUUUCUUCCAGUUACCCAGGCCAGGUCUUCAGCUGCUGCAAACGAGCAGAAGCGGCGUUGCUGUGCCCCAGCUCCUGUUCCCCAUCCUCUCCAAGGAAAAGGCACGGAGCCAGGGCCGGCCGCGGGUCAGGUCCAGCCCACAAGCCGCCAGCUGCGGCUCCGCGGUCUCUCCCGACCACGGAGCAUUCGCAAGACUCUCCGGCGAGCUUCCUGCCAUCCCAGCGGGGACGGCGGGGAGGCAGCGGGGCUGCCAGGGCGCCCACAGAGAGGAGCCCACCACGGGGCUGGGUGCUGUGCCAGCCCCACCACGGCUCCGAGUUGGUGCAGCAAAGGGGCAACGCUGAAACUCGAGAAGAAAUCCACGGCUUUAGGAAUACAAAGCAAUAAUCCUCUGCAUUCGUUCUUCAGGGCACAGAUGAGCACAGCCAAAACCUGUCCACAGGGAUCAGCUUCCACCUUUGCUUACGGUUAGAGCAAACAAUGCAGAAGCCACAGUCGCCUCUUGUCUCCGCACCGAUGGCACCACAUCCUAAACAGCUGCGUUACCCUCAGCACCAGAAUCGCACCCAGUUUGCAGAAGGAGUACCUGAAGAUUUCAAGCUCGAGCACUACGGGACUGAGGUGCUCCAGGAGGAGCUCCAGCGCGAUGGAUCCUGCCAGCAUCAGCCCCAGCCCAGACAGUGCUGCCACCGAGGGACUCCCACAGCCAAGUCCCCUCCCGUGCUCGCCAGGGUCAUCCUGACCACUACAGACUUAGCUUAAAUCCUGGCUAGCAUCCACUGUUAAAAAAUAUAGGAGAAAAAAAUAAUUUGCUGCCCACGUUGUGGAGUUAUCACUGGGGAGUUAUCUCCCCAGGGAAGGAGGGGAGCAGAGGAGGCAGGUCUCCCUGCUCUGACAGCAGAACUCCUCCGCACCCAGACGAAGGGAGCCGGGCAGAAACGGGCUCAGGCAGCUGAGGGGAGGCUUCACCCCACCUGAUUUAAGCAUCUGACUUUGGGGUCAUUGGAAACACACCCAGUGAACAAGCUGUAUUUCCCGUCCGGGAGAUCCUGGUCCCGGAGUCCCCAGCAGUGUGGGGUGGGCGCCUGCAAACGGGUGCUUCAAAGGACCUCACUGGAUGCAGACUGAAUGCCUUGCAGCAAAACAGCCCUGAUUUCAGACAACAGAGAGCAGCUGUUUGCCAGGUACUGCAAUUGCCCUUAAAUUGAUGGUUUGUUUUUUUCCUCAGUGGCUUACAAAAAUCUGAUGAGCGUCUGUAAGCAGCUGCCGUCCCGAGGCAGCAAAGGCACUGCGGGGCGACCCUCAAGCACAGGCUGCUUCUGGGCAAGCUGCGAAGCCAGGCUCUCCUCCUGAAGCUGUUAACAAAUUUAUAACUGCUCCAGACCAGGCACAGAGGGAGAACUGUAACACGUACUCACCGCCGGGUUACGCACACACAGCCGAAACUGCUGGGUGACAGUCAAGCACAAGUCCCAGAAUGUUUAACCUGCAUAAAGGGCUUUAAGUUUAAAAUGAAAUGAAAUAAAAACAGCAUUUAACUGCACAUACAGCUUGCUACCACCUCUGGUGGCCAAGCCAAAAGUAUUAGGUAGAGUUAACUUUGGCUGACACCGCAGCAUUUACUGUUUAAUUUCCUGAUACUUAAAAAAUAAUUUUUUAAAAAUAUCUGUAUCUUGAAUAUAUCUGUGUUACUGGGAACAGCUCCUUAUUUCUUUAACAACAGCUGUGUUUUUGAAUUCACAUUUCACAGAUUUUUCUCCUUCUAAACUCAACUCCAUACAGCAGCACCCACAGCAUCUUGGCAAAAACCUCCCUCCCUUGGACAAAUAUGUCACUAGACAUUUCUGGCAGGCUGUCCUCUCACAGAUAACUAGCAUGCCGAGCUAAGAAUAGGAUUAACUGCUUCUCUGGCUACUUUGUCCAGGUGCCUGCAGAAGGUCACUUGGUGUGGCCGUUCCGCUUCUCAGAGGGAGAACACAGGACUGGGCUGUAUCUCUACCAAAUUAUUAGGAAGCAUGUGGAAGCUUGGGUGAAACACGUCAAAAAUCAGUGCUAAGCAUCAGACUUCAGCUGUCCAGUGAUUCCUGGCUAAUGUGGAGAAAAAAAAAAAACAAACAACCCCUUCCCAAAUAUUUUAUUAUGGGACAGUCAAAGCAUCACACCUUCCUCCGUCAGCUGGCUCUAGUUAUUGUCACAAAAAGCCUAUCCAGAUUAUAGAGAUCAGUAGUACGGCCCAAGAUAUGACUUCUUUUUAGGCACAAUUACCUCCAA